rnacentral:pre_miRNA from 1 species
UAGACAGAUUAUUGUAUUCGACUGUAUUUACGGCGUGAAAUAGGGGAUUACACUAUUUUUAAAACGGAAAGUGAAUCAAUUAACAUAAUAGACUCCU